GACGAACGCUGGCGGCGUGCCUAAUACAUGCAAGUCGAACGAACUCUGGUAUUGAUUGGUGCUUGCAUCAUGAUUUACAUUUGAGUGAGUGGCGAACUGGUGAGUAACACGUGGGAAACCUGCCCAGAAGCGGGGGAUAACACCUGGAAACAGAUGCUAAUACCGCAUAACAACUUGGACCGCAUGGUCCGAGUUUGAAAGAUGGCUUCGGCUAUCACUUUUGGAUGGUCCCGCGGCGUAUUAGCUAGAUGGUGGGGUAACGGCUCACCAUGGCAAUGAUACGUAGCCGACCUGAGAGGGUAAUCGGCCACAUUGGGACUGAGACACGGCCCAAACUCCUACGGGAGGCAGCAGUAGGGAAUCUUCCACAAUGGACGAAAGUCUGAUGGAGCAACGCCGCGUGAGUGAAGAAGGGUUUCGGCUCGUAAAACUCUGUUGUUAAAGAAGAACAUAUCUGAGAGUAACUGUUCAGGUAUUGACGGUAUUUAACCAGAAAGCCACGGCUAACUACGUGCCAGCAGCCGCGGUAAUACGUAGGUGGCAAGCGUUGUCCGGAUUUAUUGGGCGUAAAGCGAGCGCAGGCGGUUUUUUAAGUCUGAUGUGAAAGCCUUCGGCUCAACCGAAGAAGUGCAUCGGAAACUGGGAAACUUGAGUGCAGAAGAGGACAGUGGAACUCCAUGUGUAGCGGUGAAAUGCGUAGAUAUAUGGAAGAACACCAGUGGCGAAGGCGGCUGUCUGGUCUGUAACUGACGCUGAGGCUCGAAAGUAUGGGUAGCAAACAGGAUUAGAUACCCUGGUAGUCCAUACCGUAAACGAUGAAUGCUAAGUGUUGGAGGGUUUCCGCCCUUCAGUGCUGCAGCCAACGCAUUAAGCAUUCCGCCUGGGGAGUACGGCCGCAAGGCUGAAACUCAAAGGAAUUGACGGGGGCCCGCACAAGCGGUGGAGCAUGUGGUUUAAUUCGAAGCUACGCGAAGAACCUUACCAGGUCUUGACAUACUAUGCAAAUCUAAGAGAUUAGACGUUCCCUUCGGGGACAUGGAUACAGGUGGUGCAUGGUUGUCGUCAGCUCGUGUCGUGAGAUGUUGGGUUAAGUCCCGCAACGAGCGCAACCCUUAUUAUCAGUUGCCAGCAUUAAGUUGGGCACUCUGGUGAGACUGCCGGUGACAAACCGGAGGAAGGUGGGGAUGACGUCAAAUCAUCAUGCCCCUUAUGACCUGGGCUACACACGUGCUACAAUGGAUGGUACAACGAGUUGCGAACUCGCGAGAGUAAGCUAAUCUCUUAAAGCCAUUCUCAGUUCGGAUUGUAGGCUGCAACUCGCCUACAUGAAGUCGGAAUCGCUAGUAAUCGCGGAUCAGCAUGCCGCGGUGAAUACGUUCCCGGGCCUUGUACACACCGCCCGUCACACCAUGAGAGUUUGUAACACCCAAAGUCGGUGGGGUAACCUUUUAGGAACCAGCCGCCUAAGGUGGGACAGAUGAUUAGGGUG
rnacentral:rRNA from 1 species